UCAAUAAAUAAAUUAUCGGGGGGGGGGGGGGGGGGGGAAGGAAAGUCAGAAGGUAGAAAAGUGGAUGUUGUCUAUUGUCUGUUUUUCUUGAGACUUUAAAAUGUGUUUUGUUUUUUUUUUUCCCCUAAAUUUAUAUGCUCGUUAAUAUCUGAAUAUUGUCUUGCAGUGUUCCAGACUGAUUGAAAUGUUUGAAAAUUUAAUCAUUGGCUCUCUUCCACCCUGUAUAGAUGAAAUGCUGGAGAAUACAGCAGGGAGCUGAUGAGUACAGGGGCCCACUGGUGGAUUACACAGAUGCUCAGGGUGGACAUAAUGCUUGCUUCAAUCUGUUUUGAGCAACAGGUCAACUAAAAUGGUUUUCUACUGUGGAGAUGGAAAAAGAGAGGGAGGUAAACAAAUUUGGUGAGCAUUGGCGAAGGUCUUUACAGCAGGCAUAAGCUAUGUGAACAGGAGGCAGACAAUGAUACUGGUUUAGGAAAUGCCACAAAUUCAUUGUUAUAGUCUUGAAAUAAACAGUACUUGCCCCAUUCCA
rnacentral:lncRNA from 1 species